rnacentral:rRNA from 1 species
AUUGAACGCUUGCGGCAGGCUUAACACAUGCAAGUCGAGCGGUAGCACAAGAGAGCUUGCUCUCUGGGUGACGAGCGGCGGACGGGUGAGUAAUGUCUGGGAAACUGCCUGAUGGAGGGGGAUAACUACUGGAAACGGUAGCUAAUACCGCAUAACGUCGCAAGACCAAAGAGGGGGACCUUCGGGCCUCUUGCCAUCAGAUGUGCCCAGAUGGGAUUAGCUAGUAGGUGGGGUAAUGGCUCACCUAGGCGACGAUCCCUAGCUGGUCUGAGAGGAUGACCAGCCACACUGGAACUGAGACACGGUCCAGACUCCUACGGGAGGCAGCAGUGGGGAAUACUGCACAAUGGGCGCAAGCCUGAUGCAGCCAUGCCGCGUGUGUGAAGAAGGCCUUCGGGUUGUAAAGCACUUUCAGCGAGGAGGAAGGUGGUGAACUUAAUACGUUCAUCAAUUGACGUUACUCGCAGAAGAAGCACCGGCUAACUCCGUG